GAAAUAGGAUAUUCAGGAAUAAGCUUCUAACUUUUUUCCUUAGCAGUGAAAAUCUGUUAGUAUUUCU
rnacentral:tRNA from 1 species